rnacentral:rRNA from 1 species
CAGCCGCCGCGGUAAUACAGAGGGUGCGAGCGUUAAUCGGAUUUACUGGGCGUAAAGGGCGCGUAGGCGGUUUAGUGAGUGUGAUGUGAAAGCCCCGGGCUUAACCUGGGAAGUGCAUCGCAAACGACUAAACUGGAGUAUAAGAGAGGGUGGCGGAAUUUCCGGUGUAGCGGUGAAAUGCGUAGAGAUCGGAAGGAACGUCAAUGGCGAAGGCAGCCACCUGGCUUAAUACUGACGCUGAGGCGCGAAAGCGUGGGGAUCAAACAGGAUUAGAUACCCCCGUAGUCCCUGUCUCUUAUAC